GCAUUGGUGUUUCAGUGGUAGAAUUCUCGCCUGCCACGCGGGAGACCCGGGUCCGAUUCCCGGCCAAUGCA
rnacentral:tRNA from 2 species